UACGGGGGGGGCAAGCGUUGUUCGGAUUUACUGGGCGUAAAGGGCGCGUAGGCGGUCAGCACAAGUCAGUUGUGAAAUCUCCGAGCUUAACUCGGAAAGGUCAACUGAUACUGUGCGACUAGAGUGCGGAAGGGGCAACUGGAAUUCUUGGUGUAGCGGUGAAAUGCGUAGAUAUCAAGAGGAACACCUGCGGCGAAGGCGGGUUGCUGGGCCGACACUGACGCUGAUGCGCGAAAGCCAGGGGAGCGAACGGG
rnacentral:rRNA from 1 species